GAUGAACGCUAGCGGCAGGCUUAACACAUGCAAGUCGAGGGGUAGAGGCUUUCGGGCCUUGAGACCGGCGCACGGGUGCGUAACGCGUAUGCAAUCUGCCUUGUACUGGGGGAUAGCCCAGAGAAAUUUGGAUUAAUACCCCAUAGUAUUUUCGGUUGGCAUCAACUGAUUAUUAAAGUUUUUCGGUACAAGAUGAGCAUGCGUCCCAUUAGCUAGUUGGUAUGGUAACGGCAUACCAAGGCUACGAUGGGUAGGGGUCCUGAGAGGGAGAUCCCCCACACUGGUACUGAGACACGGACCAGACUCCUACGGGAGGCAGCAGUGAGGAAUAUUGGUCAAUGGUCGCAAGACUGAACCAGCCAUGCCGCGUGCAGGAUGAAGCAUCUAUGGUGUGUAAACUGCUUUUGUACGGGAAGAAACACUCCUACGUGUAGGGGCUUGACGGUACCGUAAGAAUAAGGAUCGGCUAACUCCGUGCCAGCCGCCGCGGUAAAAC
rnacentral:rRNA from 1 species